UGACUGCCGGUGACAAACCGGAGGAAGGUGGGGAUGACGUCAAAUCAUCAUGCCCCUUAUGAUUUGGGCUACACACGUGCUACAAUGGACAAUACAAAGGGUAGCGAAACCGCGAGGUCAAGCAAAUCCCAUAAAGUUGUUCUCAGUUCGGAUUGUAGUCUGCAACUCGACUACAUGAAGCUGGAAUCGCUAGUAAUCGUAGAUCAGCAUGCUACGGUGAAUACGUUCCCGGGUCUUGUACACACCGCCCGUCACACCACGAGAGUUUGUAACACCCGAAGCCGGUGGAGUAACCUUUUAGGAGCUAGCCGUCGAAGGUGGGACAAAUGAUUGGGGUGAAGUCGUAACAAGGUAGCCGUAUCGGAAGGUGCGGCUGGAUCACCUCCUUUCUAAGGA
rnacentral:rRNA from 1 species